GAGAGAAACAGGAAGAGACAGAGAGAGGGAGAGGGAGAGAAACAGGAAGAGACAGAGAGAGGGAGAGGGAGAGAAACAGGAAGAGACAGAGAGGGAGAGAAACAGGAAGAGACAGAGAGGGAGAGAAACAGGAAGAGACAGAGAGAGGGAGAGAAACAGGAAGAGACAGAGAGAGACGGAGAGAGAGAGAGCGACAGAGAGAGACAGAGAGAGGGAGAGGGAGAGAAACAGGAAGAGACGGAGAGGGAGAGAAACAGGAAGAGACAGAGAGAGACAGAGAGAGAGAGAGAGGGAGAGGGUGAGAAACAGGAAGAGACAGAGGGAGAGGGAGAGAGAGAGAAACAGGAAAAGACAGAGAGAGACCGAGAGAGACAGAGAGAGAGGGAGAGACAGAGAGAGACACAGACACAGAGAGAGGGAGGGAGAGGGAGAGAAACAGGAAGAGACAGAGAGAGAGAGAGAGAGCCAGAGAGAGAGACAGAGAGAGACACAGAGACACAGAGAGAGGGAGGGAGAGGGAGAGGGAGAGAAACAGGAAGAGAGAGAGAGACAGAGAGAGACAGAGAGAGACAGAGAGACAGAGAGAGAGAGAGAGAGAGAGAGAGAGAGAGAGAGAGAGAGACAGAGAGAGACAGAGAGAGACAGAGAGAGAGAGACAGAGAAAGACAGAGAGAGACAGAGAGAGAAAGAUGCGGGAUAACAGAGAGUCUUGAGGUAGUGUAGAGAAUAGAUCAGUACCUGGGCCAGGAUAGAACAUAGGUAGGUCGGAGAAGGUUCGUAUGGGAGAUAGGGAAGAGAAGUUUUGAGAGAGGUAGGAGAAUGUUUGUAUGGGAGAUCGGUAGGAGAAGGUUUGUAUGGCAGAUUAGUAGGAGAAGGUUUGUAUGGGAGAUAGGGAAGAGAAGGUUUGUAUGGGAGACAGGUAGGAUAAGGUUGGUAUGGGAGAUAGAUAGGAGAAGGUUUGUACGGGAGAUAGGUAAGAGAAGGUUUGUACGGGAGACAGGUAGGAGGAGGUUAGCCCAAGUGUGUUUGUUCAAUUCUGAACGAGGACAG
ensembl:lncRNA